GGUUGUGGCUCAGGGGUAGAGCACUUGCCUUGCAUGUGUGAGGCACUGGGUUCAAUUCUCAGUGCCG
rnacentral:tRNA from 1 species